rnacentral:lncRNA from 1 species
UAAAUGACAUUUUAGGUCUGUUUGAUCUAAAGUGGAAUCAACCUCAGCUAUUUCCUCCUUUUAUAGAAGAAUGCAACUGUGUGGAAACACCCUGCAGCGGAGAAUGUCAGCUUAACACAGCAAGAACCCACACACAGGCACAAUGGUGAAUCUGACAGGAGAGAAAGAACCUUUUAGUCAAGUUCCAGUAGACCUGAAGAAUGGCUAUAUGUAUGACAACCCUUGAAGAAGUAACUCCCUUUUUACAUGAUUGUUCCCAUGUGUUGGACUUACCAAGAAGCUUUGAAUACGAGGCGGACUCCAGUGAUACUCCUAAGAGGGCAUUUCCUAGAAGAAUUCUGGACCUGGCACGGAGACUUACCAACAAGUCAGUUAGUUCUGAAUGGAACAGUUGCAGAGUUUCUGUUCAUUUGCUUAUUUGUCUCUCAAAAGAGAGUCCCUAUUUCAGUUCAUAAUGUGUAAUGAUCCUUUUUUGGGUUUUACAUGUCUCACCAGAAUCUUUUUUUCCUCUUUUGAAGCACAUCCACAAACUCUGUAACAGUGAGUGCACCUUAAAGUAAUAAAAAUGCCCAUUGUGGAAAAGAAGUCA